rnacentral:misc_RNA from 1 species
GAGUUACCUCCUUGGAUGAGGGAGCUAAGCUUCCAUUUAUUUGAUUGACUAUAUUGAUGAUGGUGAGAGUGAGCUGAGCUCCCCAAAUUGAGAUAUGUUGAGUUAUUUUAUGUUCACAAGUCGGGUGAGUUGAAAACUCCCAAUUGGAUAGUCCAAUUUAUGGCUAGACUCUGUCUAUUUGUUUUCUUGAAAUUGGACUACAGUGAUGGGCCUUAUAGUUUGGUUAGGAAUAGUUAAUCUUACUACGGACUUUGAGGGUCUUAUGCUGACCCAAAUCCUAGUGCUAGUCCGGUUCAUAAUUUAGGUCAUGACACUGGGACAGUGAGCCGAAGGACAGCUAUUACAAUCAUGUUCCAACUACCUUGAUUAUUCAAUUAUUCAGUUGGCAUAUUGCUAAAUUACUGCUAGUUAAAGAACAACUUUUUCUGGUUCAAAAGAAAAAACAAAUUU